rnacentral:rRNA from 1 species
UACGUAGGAGGCGAGCGUUGUCCGGAGUUACUGGGCGUAAAGGGUCCGCAGGCGGUUGGACACGUUUCGCGUGACAGUUCCCGGCUUAACUGGGAAAGUGCGUGGAAAACGAGCCGACUUGAGGGCAUGAGAGGAAUGCGGAAUUCCGGGUGGAGUGGUGAAAUGCGUAGAUAUCCGGAGGAACACCAAAGGCGAAGGCAGCAUUCUGGCAUGUACCUGACGCUCAUGGACGAAAGCUAGGGGAGCGAACAG